UGGACCCAAGGCCUGCUGGAGC
rnacentral:misc_RNA from 1 species